rnacentral:sRNA from 1 species
CUGGCAGUAAUAGAAACUGAAGUCCUCUUUUUGUAUCCACAGGACAGAUAUAGUUGGGCCACUCCAGUGUGAGCUUUUCCAUGCUGCCUCAUCUCUGACCUGGAGGGACUUUCUUCCCUCUCUUAGAAUGUUCGGUCUCCACAGAGCUCAGUCCUGGUCCUCU